UACGUAGGGUGCGAGCGUUGUCCGGAAUUACUGGGCGUAAAGAGCUCGUAGGUGGUUUGUCGCGUUGUUCGUGAAAACUCACAGCUCAACUGUGGGCGUGCGGGCGAUACGGGCAGACUUGAGGUAUUCAGGGGAGAACGGAAUUCCUGGUGUAGCGGUGAAAUGCGCAGAUAUCAGGAGGAACACCGGUGGCGAAGGCGGUUCUCUGGGCCUUACCUGGCGCUGAGGAGCGAAAGCGUGGGGAGCAAACAGG
rnacentral:rRNA from 1 species